GAUGAACGCUGGCGGCGUGCCUAAUACAUGCAAGUCGAACGAAACUUCUUUAUCACCGAGUGCUUGCACUCACCGAUAAAGAGUUGAGUGGCGAACGGGUGAGAAACACGUGGGCAACCUGCCCAAAAGAGGGGGAUAACACUUGGAAACAGGUGCUAAUACCGCAUAACCAUAGUUACCGCAUGGUAACUAUGUAAAAGGUGGCUAUACUACCGCUUUUGGAUGGGCCCGCGGCGCAUUAGCUAGUUGGUAGGGUAAAGGCUUACCAAGGCAAUGAUGCGUAGCCGAAUUGAGAGGUUGAUCGGCCACAUUGGGACUGAGACACGGCCCAAACUCCUACGGGAGGCAGCAGUAGGGAAUCUUCCACAAUGGGCGAAAGCCUGAUGGAGCAACGCCGCGUGGGUGAAGAAGGUCUUCGGAUCGUAAAACCCUGUUGUUAGAGAAGAAAGUGCGUGAGAGUAACUGUUCACGUUUCGACGGUAUCUAACCAGAAAGCCACGGCUAACUACGUG
rnacentral:rRNA from 1 species